rnacentral:rRNA from 1 species
AUUGAACGCUAGCGGGAUGCUUUACACAUGCAAGUCGAACGAGUGGCGGACGGGUGAGUAAUAUAUCAGCACGUGCCCAGUAGCGCGGGAUAACUACUCGAAAGAGUGGCUAAUACCGCAUACUAUUGUUGCGGGCGAUAUCGGAUGAGCUAGUUGGUGGGGCAAAGGCUCACAAAGGCAACUAUCCGUAGCUGGUUUGAGAGGGCGACGAGCCACACUGGGACUGAGACACGGCCCAGACUCCUACGGGAGGCAGCAGUGGGGAAUUUGGGGCAAUGGGGGAAACUCUGAUCCAGCCAUGCCGCGUGUAUGAGAAGGCCUUCGGGUUGUAAAGUACUUUUGGCAGAGAAGCGGUAUCUGCAGAAUAAGCGACGGCUAACUACGUGCCAGCAGCCGCGGUAAUUC